rnacentral:rRNA from 1 species
AUUGAACGCUGGCGGCAGGCCUAACACAUGCAAGUCGAGCGGAUGAAGGGAGCUUGCUCCUGGAUUCAGCGGCGGACGGGUGAGUAAUGCCUAGGAAUCUGCCUGGUAGUGGGGGAUAACGUCCAGAAACGGGCGCUAAUACCGCAUACGUCCUGAGGGAGAAAGUGGGGGAUCUUCGGACCUCACGCUAUCAGAUGAGCCUAGGUCGGAUUAGCUAGUUGGUGGGGUAAAGGCCUACCAAGGCGACGAUCCGUAACUGGUCUGAGAGGAUGAUCAGUCACACUGGAACUGAGACACGGUCCAGACUCCUACGGGAGGCAGCAGUGGGGAAUAUUGGACAAUGGGCGAAAGCCUGAUCCAGCCAUGCCGCGUGUGUGAAGAAGGUCUUCGGAUUGUAAAGCACUUUAAGUUGGGAGGAAGGGCAGUAAGUUAAUACCUUGCUGUUUUGACGUCACCAACAGAAUAAGCACCGGCUAACUUCGUG